rnacentral:rRNA from 1 species
GACGUAGGGGGCCAGCGUUGUUCGGAAUUACUGGGUGUAAAGGGUUCGUAGGCGGUGUAGCAAGUCGGGAGUGAAAUCUCUGGGCUUAACCCAGAGGCUGCUUCCGAAACUGCUGUGCUUGAGUGUGGGAGAGGCGCGUGGAAUUCCCGGUGUAGCGGUGGAAUGCGUAGAGAUCGGGAAGAACACCAGUGGCGAAGGCGGUCUGCUGGGCCGUUGCUGACGCUGAGGCGCGACAGCGUGGGGAGCAAACAGG